rnacentral:rRNA from 1 species
UACUCCCCAGGCGGUCUACUUAUCGCGUUAGCUGCGCCACUAAAGCCUCAAAGGCCCCAACGGCUAGUAGACAUCGUUUACGGCAUGGACUACCAGGGUAUCUAAUCCUGUUUGCUCCCCAUGCUUUCGUACCUCAGCGUCAGUAUUAGGCCAGAUGGCUGCCUUCGCCAUCGGUAUUCCUCCAGAUCUCUACGCAUUUCACCGCUACACCUGGAAUUCUACCAUCCUCUCCCAUACUCUAGCUUUCCAGUAUCGAAUGCAAUUCCUAAGUUAAGCUCAGGGAUUUCACAUCCGACUUAAAAAGCCGCCUACGCACGCUUUACGCCCAGUAAAUCCGAUUAACGCUCGCACCCUCUGUAUUACCGCGGCUGCCGGCACAGAGUUAGCCGGUGCUUAUUCUGCGAGUAACGUCCACUCACUUUAGGUAUUAACUAAAGGAGCCUCCUCCUCGCUUAAAGUGCUUUACGACCAAAAGGCCUUCUUCACACACGCGGCAUGGCUGGAUCAGGCUUCCGCCCAUUGUCCAAUAUUCCCCACUGCUGCCUCCCGUAGGAGUCUGGGCCGUGUCUCAGUCCCAGUGUGGCGGAUCAUCCUCUCAGACCCGCUACAGAUCGUCGCCUUGGUAGGCCUUUACCCCACCAACUA